GCAACCAAUCUGACAUUGUCCGACGCGGCCAAGGCCAAGCUUGCAAGCGAGGCGAAGACACCCGAUUUCGCGACGGUCACCAAUGACGCACGCGCGGCGCUGGACAAGCUCUAUGCCGCGGCGAAAGUGAAGGGCCCGAUUGUCGACGGCAAGACCACGGUUGAUCUUUCGGCGCUGGAUCGCCGCUCGCUGUUUGCCAUCGCCACCAACAACGGCGGAAAAUUCACGCCCGACGAACAAAG
rnacentral:misc_RNA from 1 species